GCCAACGUAGCUCAGUGGCAGAGCAGCUGUUUCGUAAACAGCAGGUCGGCGGUUCAAAUCCGCCCGUUGGCUCCA
rnacentral:tRNA from 4 species